UUCCGUCAGACUCCCGCUUGGAUCUCCAUAUUUCGGAUAUUUCCGUAUCCCUCUCGGAGGUACUCGGCAAGCGUUCGGCCUCCCCCUUCCCCCGGUAACGGUCGCUGGUGAGUUUAAAUGAGCCGGGGCUGGCGGGGCCGGAGCCGCUACGCGGGGGUGCCUGAGGCACUGCAGAAAGUGGGCCUGACCCUGAAGGAUGACGGUGCUGCAGGAACCCGUCCAGGCUGCUAUAUGGCAAGCACUAAACCACUAUGCUUACCGAGAUGCAGUUUUCCUCGCAGAACGACUGUAUGCAGAAGUACACUCAGAAGAAGCCUUGUUUUUACUGGCAACCUGUUAUUACCGCUCAGGAAAGGCAUACAAAGCAUAUAGACUCUUGAAAGGUCACAGUUGUACUACACCACAGUGUAAAUACCUGCUUGCAAAAUGUUGUGUUGAUCUCAGCAAGCUUGCAGAAGGGGAACAGAUCUUAUCUGGUGGAGUGUUUAAUAAGCAGAAAAGCCAUGAUGAUAUUGUUACUGAGUUUGGUGAUUCAGCCUGUUUUACUCUUUCACUGUUGGGACAUGUAUAUUGCAAGACAGACCGCCUUGCCAAAGGAUCAGAAUGUUACCAAAAGAGCCUUAGUUUGAAUCCUUUCCUCUGGUCUCCCUUUGAAUCAUUAUGUGAAAUAGGUGAAAAGCCAGAUCCUGACCAAACAUUUAAAUUAACAUCUAUACAGAACUUUAGCAACUGUCUGCCUAACUCUUGUACAACACUAGUAUCUAAUCAUAGUUUAUCUCAUAGACAGCCUGAGACCGUUCUUACAGAAACACCCCAGGACACAAUUGAGUUAAACAGACUGAACUUAGAAUCUUCCAAUUCAAAAUAUUCCUUGAAUACAGAUUCCUCUUACAUUGAUUCAGCUGUAAUUUCACCAGAUACUGUCCCUCUUGGAACAGGAACUUCUAUAUUAUCUAAACAGGUUCAAAAUAAACCAAAAACUGGUCGAAGUUUAUUAGGAGGACCAGCUGCCCUUAGCCCAUUAACCCCAAGUUUUGGGAUUUUGCCAUUAGAAACCCCAAGUCCUGGAGAUGGAUCCUAUUUACAAAACUACACUAAUACACCUUCUGUAAUUGACGUGCCAUCUACCGGAGCCCCUACCAAAAAGUCUGUUGCCAGAAUCGGCCAAACUGGAACAAAGUCUGUCUUCUCACAAAGUGGAAAUAGUCGGGAGGUUACUCCAAUUCUUGUUGCACAAACACAAAGUUCUGGUCCACAAACAAGUACAACACCUCAGGUAUUGAGUCCUACAAUUACAUCGCCCCCAAAUGCACUGCCACGAAGAAGUUCACGACUUUUUACCAGUGACAGCUCUACAACUAAGGAGAAUAGCAAAAAAUUAAAAAUGAAGUUUCCACCUAAAAUCCCAAACAGGAAAACAAAAAGUAAAACUAAUAAAGGAGGAAUAACUCAACCUAACAUAAAUGAUAGCCUGGAAAUUACAAAAUUGGACUCUUCCAUCAUUUCAGAAGGGAAAAUAUCCACAUUCACACCUCAGAUCCAGGCUUUUAAUCUACAAAAAGCAGCAGCAGAAGGUUUGAUGAGCCUUCUUCGUGAAAUGGGGAAAGGUUAUUUAGCUUUGUGUUCAUACAACUGCAAAGAAGCUAUAAAUAUUUUGAGCCACCUACCUUCUCACCACUACAAUACUGGUUGGGUAUUGUGCCAAAUCGGAAGAGCCUAUUUUGAACUUUCAGAAUACAUGCAAGCUGAAAGAAUAUUCUCAGAAGUUAGAAGAAUUGAGAAUUACAGAGUUGAAGGCAUGGAGAUCUACUCUACAACACUUUGGCAUCUUCAAAAAGAUGUUGCUCUAUCAGUUCUUUCAAAAGACUUAACAGACAUGGAUAAGAAUUCACCAGAGGCCUGGUGUGCUGCAGGGAACUGUUUCAGUCUGCAACGGGAACAUGAUAUUGCAAUUAAAUUCUUCCAGAGAGCAAUCCAGGUCGAUCCAAAUUAUGCUUAUGCCUAUACUCUAUUAGGGCAUGAGUUUGUGUUAACUGAAGAACUAGAUAAAGCAUUAGCUUGUUUUCGAAAUGCUAUCAGAGUAAAUCCUCGACAUUAUAAUGCAUGGUAUGGUUUAGGAAUGAUUUAUUACAAACAAGAAAAAUUCAGCCUUGCAGAAAUGCAUUUCCAGAAAGCACUUGAUAUCAAUCCUCAAAGUUCAGUUUUACUUUGCCACAUUGGAGUAGUUCAGCAUGCACUGAAAAAAUCUGAGAAGGCUUUGGAUACCCUAAACAAAGCCAUUGUUAUUGAUCCCAAGAACCCACUAUGCAAAUUUCACAGAGCCUCAGUUUUAUUUGCAAAUGAAAAAUAUAAGUCUGCUUUACAAGAACUUGAAGAAUUGAAACAGAUUGUUCCCAAAGAAUCUCUUGUUUACUUCUUAAUAGGAAAGUGCUGCUGUUUAUUUUUAGGUUUACAAGAAGUUAGGUCAAACGCACCUCGCCCUGAUGAAUUUCUCUUGGGCUAUGGAUUUAGAUCCUAAAGGAGCCAAUAACCAGAUUAAAGAGGCAAUUGAUAAGCGCUAUCUUCCAGAUGAUGAGGAACCUAUAACCCAAGAAGAACAGAUCAUGGGAACAGAUGAAUCCCAGGAGAGCAGCAUGACAGAUGCAGACGACACACAACUUCAUGCAGCUGAGAGUGAUGAAUUUUAACUUCUGGAAAUCAGACUUUUGCGACUGGACAUGUGACCAGUGCUGAUGUGUCCUUGUCCCUCCAUACACUGAGUCUUCACUCUUGAGCUGUCAGUGUCACCAUUUGUCACACCAUGAGUGUGCCACUUUUGUGGGACCCGACUGUACAAAGAAUGAAAGGCAGUGCAAUAUUUAGCUGCUAACAAGACUGGCUCUUUUACCAGUAUGAAUGACAAUUUAGGGGGGUAGGGUGGGAACUUUCUUUUUUCUUUAACCUCUUUUAGUUGCAAAGCUAUCAUGAGAGGAAGAGUUAUGUUUUAUCUUGAAGGAACCUUUAGAUAUGGAAAAUACUGAUGAACCAGCUUGGUCAUUUUUCCAGAAAUUUGUUUUUAUUUGGUUCUGUUCCUGAUAAACAGAGUGACUGACCUUCAUUUCUAGGUUAUUCAAGAAUGGUGUUAGCAAGUGCCAGAUGGAACAAUAAAAGACAUUGCCUAUAACAGAGUAACUUGAUUGCCAAGGAAUGUAAAUUACCUUAAACUUGGAGUGUCUCCUGUGAACAAAUAUAGUGGGCAUAUUCAGACUCAUAUGUAGGAAUCAAAUCUCCUUCCAUACAGUAUACACUUACUCUUGGCAAGAAUGCUUUAAUGUCUUACCAAGAAUUUUAAUUUUCUUCAUCUUGCUUCAAAGUGUUGAUCAUUGUUGUCUUGGUAUUGCAAACUUUAGAAUUGGUUCCUCCCAUAUUGCCUAGUCUCUUUGAAUUCUGUGGGAUCACCUUUAACAUUCAGAGAUUAUAGAGUGACUCCCCACUGAAAAGCCAAAAUAAGGCCCUUAAUAACCACUUUCGUUCACCGUCAGUAUGGUAACAUUACAGAGAGACUUUAAGAGAUCAUGAUAGCAAAAGCCUUAAUACAAUCAGAAUUGUACCAUGACCUCAAAUCCACAUUUGCUCAAGACAGUAUCCCUCUUGACUUAUAAAUGUUUAAACAGAGUGCAAGGUGUGGUUACCUUUGUUGAGGUUAUUUCCAUUCUUUUCACCUCUGUGCUCCUGGUUACUUUCAGUAGUAUGAGUCAUCAGAACUUUUAAUGAGAGUAAUUAAGUGUAGGAUAUUAGAGAUUUUUAACUUGGGGGAGAAAAAUUCGUAUGAAGGAGACAGGUUCUCUCUUGAGAUCAUUGUAGGUUGAUGUCUGGGAAAUGGCCACAAUUUUAAAGAUCUAAUUAUGCAUAUAAAAUGGGAAUUAUUGGAAUGUCACAAUAACAGAUUUAAACAGUCUUAAAUUGUGUAUCUCCUUUACUGUAAUGUAUUUAAAAUUUUAGAGAAACUUUAGUUGCUAACAUUUUAUUAAGUGCCAAUAUCAGAAUAUAAUGAAUUAUAGUUUCUUAUGAAUGACAGGCCUACAGUUAUUAUUUUGGAUUAUUUGAUGAAGGACAAACUUACCUACUGGUUACCUGUAUUUGUUAGUCAAGCUGUGAAAAUAUGGUGGAUUACAAAAGAUUUGAAGAAAACUUUUAGCCUUUAGACUCAGUAAUUUUCUGUCAUUUACUGUUGAUCUCAUCAAACAUGGAUUAGAUACCAUUAUAAAUUAAUUCAAGUCAAAGUCUUGGAUUAGGUAUUAGGUACCAGAGAGACAUUUAACAAAAUUUCCUACCUAAAUCUAUGUUUAUGUGCUGUCUAAAAAGUAAUAAUAAUUUAUAAAGAAAAGGAAAAGUUGGGAAUAAAUUUAUACCAUUAAAAAUUCCCAAAGGCUAGCACUUGGAUUCUAACAAAUAUUCCAUUUUAUUAUCCAUUAGUUCUGUAAUGUUUAAUUUUUUAUUCUUUUAUUUUUUUAAUAAAUCAUAAACCAGCUAUAUAACACUUACCAGAUCCAGAAUUUCAUAAAAAGCUUCAACCUGAGUUCUAUAUUAUAAAACCUGGAGAAAGCUAAUCUAAGAAUGUAAUUUGCUGAUGUAUAGUUAUCUUUUUGUAGUAGAAAUUUAUGUCCUGUGCCAGUGAGACUUUCUGGUACUGAUUCUAAGACCAAGGAUAAAAAGAUGCCACAGCAUGGCAAGGAGCUGGCUGAGGGACUUUCGGCCCACACUUGGCCUGAUUUAUUUCUCACCUAGUAAAUUUCUUGCUCUUUAUUUUUUCUCCCCCCCCCUUUUUCUUCUCUUUUUUUUUUCCCCCCUUUUUUUCUUUUUUUGCAUUGAAUGGGGAUCAGAAAAGAAGAAACAAAUUUUGGUCAGGCAAAAUGUUUGCUUCAGAUUUCAGAAGAUACUUUGAAGGAAAUUGAAGAUGCUAUGUGUACUUUGAUAUCUUUUUUUCUAUAAACUUUUCACACAAAACACACACCCACACAUACUUUUAGUCAGAAGUUACAGCAUUGAAUUUCCACCCCCCCAUGGAAAAGUUAUUACUCUGGGAUUUUAAAAGGUUGAAUUAUUUUUUCAAAAAAACAGUGGUAUUCAAAAAUAAUGAAAGGUGGCCCCUAUUUUCUGUAUUUCAUUACUUUAAAUUUUUUAUUUUUUCCAAGAACUGCAAGUAACAUUUUAAACCAUGCUGCUGUUGUAUCUUAAACAAAAACUCAGUGAUAACUAGUGUUUAGUCUAUUAAAAAUA